rnacentral:rRNA from 1 species
AUCAAUAAGCGGAGGAAAAGAAACCAACAGGGAUUGCCUUAGUAACGGCGAGUGAAGCGGCAACAGCUCAAAUUUGAAAGCUGGCUCCUUUGGAGUCCGCGUUGUAAUUUGUAGAGGAUGAUUCGGCAAGGGCUCCCGCCUAAGUCUCCUGGAACGGAGCGUCAUAGAGGGUGAGAAUCCCGUAUGCGGUGGGCUGCCUAAGCCAUGUGAAUCUCCUUCGACGAGUCGAGUUGUUUGGGAAUGCAGCUCUAAAUGGGAGGUAAAUUUCUUCUAAAGCUAAAUACCGGCCAGAGACCGAUAGCGCACAAGUAGAGUGAUCGAAAGAUGAAAAGCACUUUGGAAAGAGAGUUAAAAAGUACGUGAAAUUGUUGAAAGGGAAGCGCUUGCAGCCAGACUUGUCCGCAGUUGCUCAGCCGGUCUCCUGACCGGUGUACUCUUCUGCGGCCAGGCCAGCAUCAGUUCGGGCGGUCGGAUAAAGACCUCGGGAAUGUAGCUCCUCUCGGGGAGUGUUAUAGCCCGGGGUGGAAUGCGGCCAGCC